rnacentral:lncRNA from 1 species
UGUGGCCACUGGCCUUAGGAGCAGGAGGCCGAGCAGCCAGGGCUGCUUUCCCAUCGCUGUCUCAGCUGCUCCCGCUGGCCUUCUGCUCAGGCUGGUGUCUCCUUGGCCGGCUCCCUGCUUCUCAGCUCAUGCCUCCAGCCUUCUGGACUCUAGGAUCACAUGUGGCUGCCCACCUCGGACAGGGUUGACUAGAGGUGAAGAGGUGCCAUGCACUCCAGGAGAAGAGCUGACUGGAUCCUAUACUCAAAGAAUGGGCCACGGAUCCCUACCUGUCCACUGUUUGUUACUGGGCUGGGAAGCUGCAAGACCCGAUGCUGGGGAACUUCCAGUCUAUGCUGAGUAAGAGUGAUGAGAGCAGACAUCCUGCCUUUGUUCCUAAUCUUAGGAGGAAAGCAUUCAAUCUUUCACAGAUAAUAAUUUCCACUAGAACUUUGGGGAGCUCAGCAGAUGCAAUUGGAUUUUUUUGUCCAAACUAAUGACUUGUUUCUGGAAAGAAAACUGUUACCAUCAA